UCUCUCUCUCCUGGUAAAACCUCUCUGAGACAUUCCGCACCCUCCUGAAACUCUUCCACUCACUUUGUCUCAAAUUGAAGAGUCUGUCUGGGAAGAGAGCGGGAGAAAACUAAGCGCGUCUCCAUCUCCAUUGCGCACAGAGAGCUGCUCGUGAAGCCUAUUUAGUUUCUAUGUUUCUUUUAUUUGUUGGUAAAUCAUUUUCCUCUCCAGCCGAACCGGAUCGAUCGACCCCAGUUACCUUAGGGCGCGGAUGACGAAUGUGCGUGUGGAGAGCCACUUUCCCUGGAUAUAAACAUGCGACGGGAUGUUGGUUAGACAGGCGCGGGUACAAACCAUGGAAAUCUGUCGGAAAGGAGUGAUACUGUGUGUGCGAGGUUACUGAGAACCCGUCAUGCGCUGUUAUUGACCUUCACUGCGCGUUUAUCUGGAGACAUUUGGAUCCGUCGGUGUGAUCGGAGAGGUCUUCUCUCUCCUCUAGCGCAUAAAUCUAUGGAAAAGCAUACAUGCGGGACAUGGAUAGACUGAUUGAGCCAUCUAUGGAUGUAGUGCCGAUGAUCAGAGCCCCUGUCUGAGGUCUGGUGGUCUUGGGGAGUUCGUGGAAUGCUAACGCACCGACGCGCCGCGUCCUUCUCGCCUUCGCCCUGCUCUCCGCGGCGCACAGACGUCUAGAUUCAUCAUGCUGAGGCAGAUGCUGUUGAACUCCACGGCAGCGGCGCGAGACUUCGAUCUGAUGAGCAACACACACACGCCGGCGCCUCUGAACGUGUCCCAUGGGUCCGUGAGUGUGUCGGCCCUCCUGAAGCCCACGGGCCGCGGGAGCGCCCUGCGAGAGGGCGAGCCCGACAAGCCGGACCUGGCCACUUAUGUGGUGAUGUGCCUGGUGCUCUUCCUGCUGGUCCUCCUCAUCGUGUUCUUCAUCAACUGUCAGCUGAGGAACUCUUUCUUCGCCUCCAUGCCUUACGACCGCUCACUGCGAGAGGCCCGCAGCUCGUACAAGUGACCCGUUUGAGCCCUGACAUGAUGCUAAAGAGAACCAGAUUGAAGCUGGACUCCCCCGUGUGAUCGAUCCGUCUGUAUAUAAUGACUGUUUUGUACUUCUGCACGGCCUUUUCUGUCCAUAUUCGCUUUAUCAUCAUGUGCGUUAUGUAAGAGAUUAUUUUCUUGUACGAUGUUAAACGAUGAUUAAAUCUCACAUUCAUGA